AGCCAGCCUAGUAACAGUGAGGUCGGAUAUGGAGGGUUGCUGAGCCCUGUUCUCUACCGGGGUCCGUCAGCCAGUCCAGCCGGACAGGACUCAGGUCAGGAGACGCAUAGUUAGGACGACAGGAUGAGCUCCACGGCCCCCCGGCCAAGAGGAAAUGUUACAUGGGACGACAUCAGAUCAUCAAGAAAAACAGUGUCCCCGACCCUGAGCAGCCACUCACCCCAAGACGCUCCAGUCGCCUGCGAAACACACACACGCUGCGUGACAACACACACACGCUGCGUGACAACACACACACGCUGCGUGACAACACACACACGCUGCGUGACAACACACACACGCUGCGUGACAACACACACACGGCCCAGAAUGGGGCUGCAGGACAGGUGUGUGUGGUAGGAGACUCCUCCUUAGACCCUGGAGAGGAUAUGCUGCAGGUUCUGGAAGCUCUGGAUCCUGGAGGGAUGAAAUUAACACAUGGGGUAGAGAUGGGGGUAUCUUUAAUCCAGAGAGGGGUAUCCCACGCCUCUGCAGCUCAGCCAAGACCUCCCACAGCCUGACACCAGGACCAGAGGUCGGGGCUAGGGUUGGACUGGGACCAGGUGUGUGUGAGCAUCCAGGGCUGGUUCAGACAGCGGACUGUAAGGACCUGGCUCAGUGCCUGCUGUUCAGUGAAGACUCAGAGGACAGAGAGCAUGCUGGGACGCUUCCACACAGACCUACGGACGCCACACCCCCUCAGAAGAACUGCAGCUCCAGAGGUAGGAAGCGCAUGGCUAGGGGGAGGAGCUCUGAGACCACACCCACAGGAAGAGGAAAUGGUUCCUGCCAGAAUGCUGACUCCC